ensembl:lncRNA
GUCCAGGAGAAGCGAGUCAAGGCAAGGCAAGGCCAGGAAAGGCAAGGCCAGGCCAGGCCAAGCAACGGAAGGGAAAGAACAGACAAGCUAGGUCAGAGCAGUCCAGGCCAGGAAGGGAAAGGAUAGGCCAGGGAAGGCAAGGACAGGCAAGGCAAAGCAAGGCCAGGCAAGGUAAGGCAAGGUAAGGCAAGGCAAGGCCAGGCCAGGCCAUGCCAGGCCAAGCCUGGCCAAGCUAGGUGAGGCGAGGCCAAACAAGCCCUUACGGAACUAGGCAAGGCCAGCCAAGGCGAGGCGAGACCAGG